AAAAGAUGGCAUGACAAAAGGAUACAAAAGUGUCAGUUUAAUGUAGGUGAUUAUGUAUUGCUAUACAACUCUCGUUUAAGAUUUUUUGCAGGAAAACUUCUCUCUAAAUGGGAAGGCCCCUAUGUUAUCGAAGAGUUCUAUCGUUCCGGUGCCAUAAAGAUCAACAACUUCGAAGGCACAAAUCCGUGGGUUGGUGUGAGAAACUUUGAGGCGUGCCAUUCCGCUACAUUGCGUCUCAGCCUCCUCCCUGGCGCUGCGCCAGCGCGGCGCGUGUCCGCGUCCCAUCUCGCGGCCGCGGUGCUGAACUACGUGGACGUCCUGCCGGAGGCCCUCGCCUUCAUCCAGCGGUUCAAGAGCAAGACGGUGGUGGUGAAGUACGGCGGCGCGGCCAUGAAGUCGCCGGAGCUGCAGGCGUCGAUGAUCCGCAACCUUGUCCUCCUCUCCUGCGUCGGCCUGCGCCAUGUGCUCGUGCACGUUGGCGGUCUGGAGAUCAACUCCUGGCUGCAACACAUCGGCGUCGAGCCGCAGUUCCGCAACGGCCUCCGCGUCAUCGACACUCUCACCAUGGAGGUCGUUUGUGAAGGUGCUGGUCAGCAAGUCCGCGGGUUCGUCGGCGAGGUGACGCGCAUACACCUCUCUGUGCUCCACCCGAUCAUCGCGUCCGGCCACAUCCCAGUCAAGCCAACCGUGGCCGCCGACGAGACUGGGUAG
rnacentral:rRNA from 1 species